AUGGCAAGGGCAAUUGCAACGAUACUACUCAUGGCUAUCGUGCUUGUUGCCGCGAUGCAAGCGGUGAGCUCCGUGGACAUCACGGACACGGACUUGGCGUCGGAGAAGUCCCUGUGGGCACUGUACGAUCGCUGGUGCGAGCAUCACAGUGUCGCACGCGGCCUCGGCGAAAAGGCCCGGCGCUUCAGCGUGUUCAAGGAGAACGCUCGCAUGGUCCACAAAUUCAACCAAGGUGGCGCUCCCUACAAGCUAAGCCUCAACCUCUUUGGUGACAUGACCGAUGAAGAGGUCGACAACGGGUACGGUCGCUGCUCCAACCCCUUGCCGAACAGCGCGAAGCAGAGCCAAGACCGGGUCACACACGGCGUCCUUGCCGCGCGUGACAACUACCCAACGUACGUGGACUGGCGCAUGACAGGGUACGACCAACGCCCGUCGGCGGUGACAAACGUGAAGAUGCAGAGAGGGUGCGGGGCUUGUUGGGCCUUCGCGGCGACAGCCGCAGUGGAAGGCAUCAAUUCCAUCAGGACGAGGAAGCUGGUGUCAUUGACUGCGACAAAGAAAGUGGCGGUUGUAAAGGCGGCAACCCGGUAUCGGCCUUCAAGUACAUGA
rnacentral:rRNA from 1 species